ACAUGUAGCACUUUACGCGGAGAAGGAAAGGCCAAUCUCCUCAAAAAACUAAACCGACACAAACCACCCGCCGCUGCCACUGUCCUCCUCUGCCGAAAAACUACCUCAGCUGAAUACAUAUCCUCAAGAAACCGAGACCCGACUUUCAAAAAACUCAUGGACAAGUAAAAAAAAACUUCUUCAAAGUCAUCGUUUUUCAAGACCUCAUCCUCCGCAAAACCACCAACUCCGUUGUACCCGCCAUAAUUAUCUAAAAACAACAACACCUCCAUCUCAAUCGCGGGGCUACCCAUUUCCUCCUUUAUAAAUUAUUGACAAAGGUGCAUCUACAUUCAGCUUUUUCGUCACCUGAAUGAGUUAUCAGUUGUGCUCUAAAGGACAUUCAUUUCUUUGUCUACUCGAUUUGCCUUGUGAGAAAGAGAAUAUCACGUAUAUCUGAGUGAGGGAGAGACACAGUUGGAGAAUGCAUCCUCUUGUUUGUCAUUGUUCUGGAGAAGACAUAACAAGAUUGGUAGUUUAGUUUAGAUAGAAAAAUGAACUGGUUGCGUCCAUAAGUGCAAGACAGUGUUCAUAUCCAGUAAAAUCUCACAAGUGCGGUCUGGAACGAUAGAGCGUGCGCAAGCCUUACCCUUACCUCUUGGAGGUUACUGAACUUUCUUCUCGAGUAAUGUGAUUUAUGGGUUUAAUAUAUUCUAUAUUAUGUAGGAUGUCUCACAAAUCUCAGUAUGUGAGGGUAAAACCUCAGACGGUGCUUCCUAUUUGGAGAUCAAUUGAGUGUUAUGCAAGUAUUAUCUACAAAGUCGGAUGCUUGCAUUAUUGAUAUCUUCAAUGAGGUUGCAAGUAGUAGAUUUAGUUCAUAUGAUCAUGGUGAUGUUGCUCAGAAAGCUUAGCAGAUUUGAUAUAUUGCUAAUAAUUGUAGGGGGGCCACUCACAGCCUCAUUUGUGACCUUAUUGGUACGGGAGGCCAAUAUCUAUAUUGUUCUUGACAGUCUGUGAAAUGACUUUCUGUAAGAUGAUUUAUGUGGAUCAUCCAGAAGAUUAUCGAGGUUCUCUCAGACUCUCUUUUGCACCAAGGUUUUUCAGAUGAAGGCAGAGUAUUUUCUUAUAAAAGAUGAUAUCAUUUUACAAAACGAAACACCUACUACGAUAAGAAACUCUUUCUCACUCUCCCACUCUCUUGUGUCUGUGAAAGGAAUGGAAAGCAAAAGAAAACUGCUCAAAGGCUAUAUUCAUUGUACUUGAAGGGUACUAGCUUCCAUUGACAGUCGAAAUUUUUUGCAAUUUUCUUUUAAUAGCUAGAUGCUUGAGAUGAGCAUAAAAUAACAUAUUGGGCCUGUGCUGAGCACGGUCUUGCCCAUCUAGUAUUAAAAAAUAGAAAUAUAUGGUAAAGUUUUUAUCUAAAUUAUUAUUUUUUAAAUGAGUAAAUAGAUUUUCCAACCACAAUAAAAAUGUGUCAUAUAGAUUUUAUCUUUUUGUGUGUGUAUUUUAGUUUUAGAUAUAGAUAUGUGGUGGAUAAUGUUUUGUACAAGCCUUUCACAGCUAAUUACUUUAUCCAUUUGUUAGUACUUGUCAUGUUUAUUAAAAAUAAAUAUUUUAUAAUAUAUUGUUCGUUUAAAAUUAC